GCUUAGGCUAGAGGUGACGAAUUCGCACUGGAGUAGUUGCUAUGGUUAUGUAGUUACCAUGGUUAUAAAGAGAAAAUAGACUUGAGAAGCAUUCAGAUGAAAUGAAAACAUCUUGGCAAUGUAUUUUAUAAGACUGUGGAUGUGAGAUUCAAACUGCUUCAAGUUCCUCAACUUCUCCACAAGCACAGACUGUAACCGGGAAUGGUCAGCCAAAUAAACCUUUCACUUCUACGUUCCUUUCAUAGACAGGAUUUAUCACAGCAACAGGAAGCUGGACAAAGACAGGACUUGAGUUAAAAGAUUAGUGGCUUCCCCCUUAUGCAUAAGGGGAUGGAAUAAUCCUUCGUUUGCUCCAGCGUUUGCCGAAAUUCUGCUCGGGAGAAAAACAAGCCUCAGUCAUGACUCCGGUUCUUGCAGUUAUGCCUUCUCUGCCUUGAUGUACUAUCCUCUCCAACACUGUCUGACCUCUUCUGAGAUGAUGCUGUGACAGGAACGUACUCUGUGGAACAGAAGGAAUGAUGACACAGCCAGCUCUCCCCACACUGUUCCAGUGAGGAAGGGUCAGAGUUGUGCCAUUAAUUCAAAUGAGCCUCCCUUUGUCUUUAAUGUACCACACAUUUGCAAAGCCACUGGUCUCCAACAGCAAAGCAUACUCAAAAAAGUUGCCUGUGUGAGGAACCAGCCAAGAAUAAUAAUUAGCUCUUUGACAUAUCAAUUCCUAAUGAGUUCCUUAUUUGUUUUCAAGUCCUAGUGUCAUAUCUAUUAAGUUAACAGAUCCAUUGUGUUUCUAAUAUGCCUCUGCUAUCUGUACAUGCAAAAUCAAAGCUAAAACCUCUGUUCUAUUGUAUAUUC